rnacentral:lncRNA from 1 species
AGAAACUCUGCCUCAAUAAACAAACAAACAAACAAAUAAAUAAAUUCAACAACAAAAAGCAAAACAAAACCAAACAAAUGAAAGGGGGGGGGGGGGAGAUGGCUGGUUAUUCAUCUGUGGCUAGAGAGAAGUAGACUUUUUAAUUUAUUUUGCAAUCAGACAACAUUUGAGGCUUGCCCUCCCUUAUUUAUCUAUUUAUUUUUACAGACAAUUCUGGUGCAGGAGAGCUUCUCUUCUCAGAUGAAAUCUGGGGCACAACUAACUGCGUAGUUAAAGGAUGGACUGACCUCCUUACCGAUCGGUCUGGGUCAGGCAGACACUCACCUGGGGCAGCUUCACGCAUGGAAAUAAUGAAGCACAGAAGGGCCUGUUCAACUCCACUGUUGGAUGUCACAGAACUAUCUAAGAGGUCCCUGGGAUCCUUUUAGGAUUUCCCCAGUGAACACAGAUAUACAUCUGAUAAUUUUGAUUUUUGUCUACUGACUGCAGA